rnacentral:tRNA from 1 species
CGCGGGGUAGAGCAGCCCGGUAGCUCGCGAGGCUCAUAACCUCGAGGUCGCAGGUUCAAAUCCUGCCCCCGCAACCA